CCUAAAUUUUUAUCUCAUUGUUCUGGCCGUUCAAUCCAUUUCGCAAGGAACACGGCCUCCUAACCACCAAGAAUCACAUCAACAAUCAACCUAAUAUGGUGUUAUUCAUUGAUUCUUGCUACCAAUUUCUAAUUCUCGAUCCUAGCCUGAUUACUUCUCUGUUUGAUUCUUCAAAAUGCUUUAAUCAUCCAAGAAGUCUGCCUCUAAGGCUACCAAAUCAACGGAAAAAGGUAGCUUUGGUUUUUGGUUUGAUUGUUGUAUACUCUAUAGGUUAAUUUCUAUGUGUAUUUUAGAUUUUAUACAUGUAUUUAAUGAUUUAUAAUGUCGAUAUCUGAUUUGUACCUUUAUGACAAAUCGGUUCUGGUGUCUUUCAUGCGUUUUUGGCAUUUGGGAUUUUUAGGGUUCUGAUGCUAUCAUCUCCAAUCGUAGGCUAUCGGAAGCUGAUGCUUUCAUGUAGUUGUUUUGCUUUGUUGCCUGCAUUACUCAUUGCACUAGGUAUUUCGUUACAGUUUAAUCUAAGUAUUUGGGAUUCCCUAUCCGGUUCGGAGGAGGUGUCAAACCAAAUGGCGGAUAAUACUAUGUCAAGUCUGGUCAACUGGGUUGCGUACAGUCACUGAGUCCAUAAUUGAAUUGCUGGAAUCUCAGUCCAUAGUUUCACUUUUUGUCUGUUGGAUGAUGCUUUGAUGAGUUUUAAAGGUUGUGAUGAUAAAUUUCAAUGCGUCUGAGUGAAAUUGGGCAAAGAUGAGAUUGUCCGCAUCUUGGCAGGGCAACCCGGAUGGUCAUGUGGUUUCACAUGGCAACUGUAAGUAUGUAGCCAUGGCGGAUUCAACCAUUCUGUUUGAUUGUUUACAAAUCUGAGCCUCAUAAUCGUUAUAUAACAUCAACAACACUACCGGUAUAUAUCUGUUAUGUUUUUGGUACUUUCAACGAUGCCAGCAGCACUGAAAGCACAAAAACGAAUUUGACAAUGAUGAGGAACUGGUCCCAAAAUUAAACAGUAGAUGGAAGAGGCGGCUUUUUGAUAUCUUACAUGAUAAGCUGAAGAUACCCAAUAUGCUUCUUAUGGCAGUCUUCUCUCUGAACCUAAAGGCAUGGACUGUAUUUAUCAUGUGGUUUAUGUUGGCACCUAUUGCACACAAAUGGGAUGUACGACCUUUAGAUAUACUCGGAACUGGUUUUGCCAUCAUCUUUGUGAACCUUGGAAAGCGUGAGCAAGGUGAUAUGAGCGCUUAUUCCAUCUUCAAUGAAGAUUUUAGAGAGCUCCCUGGGACUUUCAAUGAGGAGCGAGUCGAUAGAGAUAUUCGACCAGUCUUGAGCGAAGGAUGACACUUUGCAACCAGUGCCUCAUUGGGUAAAGUUGGGAAAUUGGGGUUUGAAAGAUGAAAUAGCUGCAACUUAGGGUAUGCAGAUAAGAAGACGGUCGCCAACGGGCUCCUUUGCAUAAUGUUUGUUCGUUCGAGUUUUGGAUGCAAAAUGAAGGGAAUACUCCUUGAAACAUACUAAAAGAUAUUGUAUGGAACAAAGAUACAGAGGUUACAUAGGUAUGUGUUGUAUACACGAAAUCAUGUUUUUUUCUAUGGCAAUGUUGGGUUCUGAACCUGCAAACGCAUGGUUAACAGACUCGGAAUUACUUGUAUUAUUCUGCGUAAUUAUUGAACACUUGGGUUUGGGGGUGUAUUUGAUGUGGAUUUUGGAGAUGGUUAUUUGAUGUCAUAAUUAGAUAAUAAGCUGUAGUAAAAUUAGUGCAGUAGUUUUGUUGAUAUUCUUAGGAGGCUGAUGUGGAUACAUCUUUCAUUUUAUCCAUAUAAUGGCAUCAAUGAACAUGAUUCCCUACGUUCAUACAUAUGUAGCGUUGGCAAAAGAAAUGUCAGCAACCGCUGGGAGUUGUGAUGUUCGUGUUGUUGUUGAUAAAUUGAAGCCUUACAAAAGGAAGACAUCAGGUUAAAGUUUCUAUGUUUGAAGAGAUUCCGUUUAUCCACUUUUUGAUAAGGCUUCUAGAAGAUAUGGUCAAUUCAGGUGGUCGACGCAGGUACAAAGCUCUCUGCAUGAAGUACAUCUACCUUUUGGAACGAAGUGAUAGCGAAGAACAUGAUCCUUUUCAGGUAAAUUACUAAAUUCACCGCUCUUGUGAACUUAUGGCAUAUACUUUAUUGCCAACAUUUCUUACUUGUAAUAUAAAGUUUGAUAAUUAUUCAAGUAUCUGAGUUAAAAGGCAAUGAUAAAAAUAAAAUGCAUUACAAGUGUCAUAUAGUCACAGUAGUCAAAGGCGCAAAGGCUCACAUGCCCAAAUUAUGUCCAUAUUUUGCAAAAAAAAUCAGUAUGAACAAGUCUAAAACAUCUAAAGUUGGCCUGAAACAUCUAAAAAUGGCAUGGAACUGGCUUUAACCAGUAUAAACUACCCUAAAACAGCUUAAAAUGGCAUGUUUAUGUGAUGCGCCUUGCUUAUCUUGAGCCCUCACUUUGUAAGCGCCUUUGCCUAGGCAAUAGUCUUCACUAUUUGUGCCUUGAGUGCAUGUAGAGCCUUUAAAUACCGAGCAUAGAAUACCAGUUUACUUUCACACGUCUAAAUAUAAAGAUUCAAGUCAAGUGUUGUUUUGAUACUUAUAUAAGCUGGGGACCUGCUAAAGGAAGACUUAAGGUACAUGCCUUUCAUCAUUUUGACUCAACCCAUUAGUCAGAUGAAUUUGGUUAUUUUGGUUAUUUUUUCGUUAUUUUUUUAUAAGUUCUAUCUGAAAAUGAUGUGGGUCAAACGAGAGACUGUAUUUGGUUCUGGUUUGAUGCUUGGGUAGCGGACGUAACUCUUCAGUCUCUCUACCCGGCCUUAUUUCAGCUUGAAACUAAUAAACACUGUACGGUCAAAGAUCACAUCCCCACCACGCCGGAGACUACGGGGUUGACGUGGGUCUGGUCUUAUGAACUGGAUUCCGCUGAUGAGCUGAAUGAACUUUGGGAUUGUUGCAACUGGUUGUUUGGGAUCAACAUCCCUGGUGGGGUUGACAAAUGGAAUUGGUUGGUGGAAUCAUAUGGGGAAUUCUCAGUUAGAAGCUUAAAACGUCUUCUUUAAAGCGAGGUUGUGGUUUCAACUAAUGAUCACUUUGAAUGGGUCAAGUGGUUGCCCAAAAAUGUCAAUAUCUUUACCAUAUUCACCCCUUUUUUCAAGCCUCCUAGACUUGCAAAAUAAUGAUUCAUUUGGUUAUUAUCCUUGCUUGUUGGGUAAUUUGGAAGAAAAGAAACGAAGUGAUCUCUAAUUGCCUGGCUGACCCGGUGAAAAUGUUGAAAGAUGUCAAAGCUUUGGGGUUCUUAUGGGGUGUAUAACGGAGCUAACCUUCUAUCCUUUGAUUGGAACAGUUGGUGUAGCCUUUCAGUUUAUGUAAUCUCUCUGUAUAAUCUCAUGUUGUAUAGCCUUUGUCUUGCUUUUUUCUUAAUAAAUUUGGCUGAUAAAAAAAUAUUUGUGAAGACAUUUAGUGCAGGAUCAAAAUCAUGUGAUGGCUUCAAAGAGGAUUCAUAUACAAUUUACUUUGCUUUUA